UAGAGAAAUUCUCUCUCUCCUUCACUCCAAACUUUCGACCACCACCUCUCUCUCCUCUCUCUCACAUUUCCACCAUUGACAACCAUUAACGAGACCUUGGGAGCUUCACAACAUCACACCAAAAUCACAAAUCACCCUCUAAAUCUUACACUAAACACUUCCACCUCCUUGAAUUCAAGAAGAUCUUUGGAGAUUGACUUCAAGAAUAGAGAGAGAAAGUUUGAUAUUUGGUGUAAACUUGGACACGAGCAGAGCAAGGAAGUAAGUAACUCCACUUUGACGGGAGUUUUUGAGUAAGGUCUUCAGACUAAACGAGGAGUGGGAUUGGUCUGGUGCUGGCGGGGAAAUGUUGGAGGAUGUAUUUACUUUAUCGUAUUUCCAUUUUGACGAUAAAGUCUUGAUGAUUGAUAUACUUAAAUUUUCUUUUGAAGUUAAGCAAUGUACUCACGGUUAUAUGUCUUCAUACAUAUAAUCGGUUCGCCUUUUGCUGCGAUACUCUGCAUAUUAUGAUUCCUUACGAAAAAUGAGCGAUACCCGUUUUGUUUUUGUUCGUGAAAUUCCUGAUAAUUAAAAAGUUAUAACGACAUUGACGAUUUUA